UGUGCCACUGAGCUCUCAAAUACCCGGCUUCUUUUUAUGCCUUCUUCUGGGUAGAGCAGUUCAGUUUAGCUGCCAAGGAUUCUUCUUGGAAAGGAAUGCCAACUUGCAGCUUGCAUUAUGAAGCUGGAGACCCUUCCACCACCUGAUGUGAAGAGCUGAGUCUUUGGAAAAGACCCUGAUUCUGGGAAAGAUUGAAGGCAAGAGGAAAAGGGGGCGACAUAAGAUGAGAUGGUUGGAUGGCGUCAUCAAGUCAGUGGACGUGAGUUUGCGUAAACUCUGGGAGAUGGUGAAGGACAGAGAGGCCUGGCAUGCUGCAGAUCAUGGGUCCACAAAGAGUCAGACAUGAUUUAGCAACUGAACAACUUUGUCAAUAUUUUAUUUCAACUGGAAGUCUUUAGGUGAGUUCCUAUCACCCUUGCUUGAACAAAAACUUUUUAAUGUAAUAAAAAACAACAAAUUUAUCCC
ensembl:lncRNA